CCCUUAGAUGUUCUGGGCCGCACGCGUGCUACACUGAGUGGAUCAGCGGGUCAGGUUGCGCGAAAGCGUUUCCUAAUCUUUAAAUCCGCUCGUGAUGGGGAUUGACGGUUGCAAUUUUCUGUCAUGAACGAGGAAUACCUUGUAAGCGCGGGUCAUCAUCCCGCGCUGAAUACGUCCCUGCCCUUUGUACACACCGCCCGUCGCUCCUACCGAUUGGAUGGUUUAGUGAGAUCCUCGGAUUGGUCCCGGAGCGGCCUCUGGUCGUGCCGGAGUGCCGAAAAGAAUGUCGAACUUGAUCAUCUAGAGGAAGUAAAAGUCGUAACA
rnacentral:rRNA from 1 species